UACAGAGGUCUCAAGCGUUGUUCGGAUUCAUUGGGCGUAAAGGGUGUGUAGGUGGCGCGCUAAGUCAGAUGUGAAAUCCCGGGGCUCAACCCCGGAACUGCAUCCGAUACUGCCUUGCUUGAGGGUUGGAGAGGUAGCUGGAAUUAUCGGUGUAGCAGUGAAAUGCGUGGAUAUCGAUAGGAACACUCGUGGCGAAGGCGAGCUACUGGACAACAUCUGACGCUGAGGCUCGAAGGCUAGGGGAGCAAAAGGG
rnacentral:rRNA from 1 species